CCCCUAGAUGUUCUGGGCCGCACGCGCGCUACACUGAACAGUUCAGCAAGUCUUAACCUUGGCCGAUAGGUCUGGGUAAUCUUUGAACGCUGUUCGUGAUUGGGAUAGACCUUUGCAAUUAUGGGUCUUCAACGAGGAAUUCCUAGUAAACGCAAGUCAUCAGCUUGCAUUGAUUACGUCCCUGCCCUUUGUACACACCGCCGUCGCACCUACCGAUUGAAUGGUCCGGUGAAAUCUCGGGACGGCGGCUUGGUCGCUUGCGUCCGACUGCUGAAACUUGAUUAAACCAUAUCAUUUAGAGGAAGGUGAAGUCGUAACA
rnacentral:rRNA from 1 species